CAGUUUUUUACCUCUACCAUAGCAGCCGCUCAUCUGGUCAUCACAAUCUUUUCCCCAUCCCGCACGGCCGGCCGCCCCAUCGAAUCUACAGCGCCGGCCUACCCUCCUCCCUCCGGCAUCCUUGCCGCGCCCACGGUGACCUCGCCUCACCACUGGAGCCCCUCUCGUCUGGCGCACUUCCUCCUCUUCUCCCUCCCAUCUACUCCUCCUCUGGCGAUGCGCCCUGCCAUGCAUCUGCCGCGCCACAAGCACAACGCCGGCUGUCCACCGCGAUUCCUCCUCUGCCUUCGCCGGUCACCUCAUCCCGCUGCGCCCACGGCCAUCCACCGUGCCCACCAGCCGAGCCACAGGCAGAGCGCCGACUAUCUGACGCGCUUCCUCCUUUCUCUCCUAUCGCUGUGCCCACGGCGCCCACACAUCCACCAUGCCAACCAUGCGCGCCGCCACCCCUGUACGCCUCCUCCUCCGCCAGACUGACUCCCAAUCCCACCUUCAAGCCGCCGCCGCUGCUCACGGCUCCAUUAGACCCUCCCCUCGCAGCACACUUUCCUCAGCUCCGAGCAUGACGCAGGUCGUCCGCCAUGGUCCAGUGUCGUCCGCCAUGGUCACCGUCCACCCAGAAUAGACCCUCUGUACCCCGUUCCUCUGCUUCGCAGCGUGGAUGGCGAGGAGCCCGAUUCAAAGGCGAUGUGAGCACUUCCGCAUUUACUUCACUACUGCUCGCUAGGUUUCUGAAGCUAGAAGCUGGAGAUCCUCAAAUUUUUCGUUUGCUGACACCAAACCAGCCCACUUUGUGGACGCCUUAGCAGCCCAAUGCUCCAAAUGGCCCAUGAUGUUUAUCUUCUUCGAUGCCAUCACUUGAACCCUUCAGCUGCUGGUUAUUAGUGAUUGACGCUUCAUUUCCUCUCCCCAAGAUCUCUGCAGAAGAAACUGAUGGAUUCCUCUUUAAAUUUGGUGCUCCACCUGAACGCAUUUUGUACCAAUCAUCCUCCACACGGGUGGGCGUCUGCCAUACCGCUCAUAACCGUACCACGAUUGUUCCCGCCGGCGGUGGCUAUGGCGGGGACAACGAGACACUGGGGAAGUUGUCCACACGAGUUGCUCUAUGAGGCGAGGCCAGUGGAGGAUAGGCAGGGGCACACAAUUGUUGCGUACAGGCAAGGGGUUUUCUCGACUACCCUGGACUCGAGCUGCCGCAGCAACCGUCGAUUCUAGGUUAUGACUCCUGACCAUGAUUUAACUAUUGAUUUUCGGAAGAAAAAAUGGUUUAUUCCAGUACUGUUCAUCCUCUUUUGAUGUUCUGAAAUGUCAUGCAGCAAUUUGACUGAUUCGAGUGACGUCCAAGGGAGUUUAUUCAUGUACAUAUAUUCAUUUGUCCGAUGUCUUGAGUAAACAAGAAGCCACCCUCCAGUAGCACCACCUAUUAUACACAAUGAGUGCUAGCUUCGAAUUAACUCGAGCUGUUUCAGAGUGAUGCAUUACUUGCUGCAGUCUUAUUCUGAACUUUUUCCUAAUUUUUAUUUUCCUAACUGUUUUUUUAUCUUGAGAUGUUUUUAAACAGAUGGGAGUGUCCCUAAUACCCUGCUUAUUGCAAAUUUUGAAGUUGUCAGGCCAUGGGUUGCAGCUGCAGAACACAUAUCACAGUUCAAUGAGGAAGCAUGAUCACCUUUUAUGAAGAAAUACAAGACUAUUCACUCGGAGAGGUACUAAUUUGUCAUGCAUACCUCCUAAGUUGCAACUAUAUAGUAUCUAAGUAAUCUUCUUUACAGGCCCUUAGCCGAUACACAUCUCCAGCCCUCCAUUACAUCCACUCUUUAAUUCUACUCUUCCUAUUUGAAUUGUUCCCAUGGGUGAUCGGAAUCAGAAUUGCUCUGCUACGAAAUCUCUGUGUCUUCUUAAAAAAUCAUAGAAUUGAUAGCCUAUUUUGGGGAAGUCGUAUACUAAAGCUAUGAAUUAUACUACUAUGUUAGCUUCCUGAAGGUAUUUAGGAAAAAAAUGGGGCUUGAAGACGUUGCCAUGAUUAUUUCUAUAACGGGGUACAGAGAAGCAUUUUUUUUGUCAAGUGACUUUCUAUUAUGCAGAUGUGCAAUGUAUGAUGAAAGCACCCAUAAAUAUGACACUGAGAGUUCUUAAUCCAUAUUUAUUUUGAAUAGCCGUA